GGUGCGCAGAGCCGCUGGCGCACUUGGCGCGCUACGCUCGCCCCCUUCCCCGCUCGGACUGUGGCGCGCCCUCUCGCUGGCUGGCUCUCACUUCAAUUUUUUCUCCCCUCCAUCCCAGCCUCUCUCUCCCUCUCUCUCCCCCCACUCGAGCUCCCGGCUGCCAGCGGCUCCCUCGCGCUCUCCCUCUCUCUCCCGUACGCUCCACCGUGCGAUGCGAGCUCUGGGAGCGAGCGACACCGCCUUCCGCUAGAGACCUGUCCCCCGGCCCGGCCCCCUGCCCAGCGAGCGGGGGUCGGCGAAAGCGCCGCGGACGCACCGACGGCGGAGGACCCGCGAUGCGCAUGCUCUAGCAGCGCCCCUAACUCACUCCCUCCGCACCCCACCCUCCGCCGGCUCCGGCUGCGGCUCCUGCCUCGACUAUUAUUUUAUUUAUUUUGGGUCGUGCACAAGCCUCAGUGCCUGCAACCCGCGACUCCUCGGACCGCGGGCACCUCUUCCCUCGGCUCCGAAGCCCCAGACCCCGGCCGCCCUCGCCUCGACACCCCCAGAGCCCCGCUAGCUGCCACGAGCCUCAGUUGCUGGAAUCUUGUUAACGGCUGUCUUUUGGGGGGGCUCUGGUUUACCGACAUUUUUGUUUUCAGCCAAGAGGAAGAUAUUGUGAUUUUUUUUCCCCUUCGAGCCCAGGCUCUGCUCUUUGGGGGUCUGGGGGGCGCGCCGAGCCGGGAGCCGUGCCAGCCGAGUCUUGCGGGCUGUGGCAGGGAAGGGGCCACCACCAUGGAUGUACUCUGAGCGCAGAGGAGAGAGCCGCCCUCCAACGGAGCAAGGCGAUUGAGAAAAACCUCAAAGAGGAUGGCAUCAGCGCCGCCAAAGACGUGAAAUUACUCCUACUGGGGGCUGGAGAAUCAGGAAAAAGCACCAUUGUGAAGCAAAUGAAGUCAGUUCUCCUUGGGUCUCGGGGACUUGACAUAUGCCACAUCUCCCAGCGAUUGGAGAGUCUCAGUGCGGACACUACCUUUGAGCCUCUUGAGCCUGUGAAGCACACAGACAUUCAGGUCACUUCUCCUUGGGUCUCAGGGAUUUGACAUAUCCCACAUCUCCCAGCGAUUGGAGAGUCUCAGUGCGGACACUACCUUUGAGCCUCUUGAGCCUGUGAAGCACACAGACAUUCAGGUAGGGGCUGCCAGGCUCCAGGACUGGUAGCGCGUUGAGCGUGCAACCCAGGCUGAAGGCCCUGGCCCUUUGUUGACCAGCAGAUUUAGGAAUUUUAGAUUUAGUUUAAUUCUCUUCUUCCUCAGAUAUUAAGAGAUGGGGAGGCUCAGCUUUGGAGGUAUAGUUAUUUUGGGUUAUUUUCAGAGUGCUGUGUGAGACUGAAUUUAAGAAAGCAAUUCCAACCUGCACUUUUAGAUCAUUGUAAUUAUGAGAACAGAUUUCUCUUCCUUCUUUGGGCUUAAUCCAAGGAACAGAGACAUUAGUUGUAAGUUCCUCUUGCUUUCUUUGCUAGUUCUCAAAUAAUUGUACUAUUUGUUGUCCACAUUUCUGUAUCUUGCUUGUACUAGCUGGCAAAGAGCUGGAGAAAACUUAGAGUGCUAUUUACUGAAACCUAUUCAUCAAUUUCUAGGAAGUACUUGGCUGCGUUAGUGGCACCAGGAAGUAGUCUAAUAGAGCACUGCAUUCUCAUUUAACCUAACAUGCCGCUGGCACAAUUGAUUGCUAGUUUAAUCUAAUCAGAAACUGAUCAGGGUGUGUGUGUGUUUGUGCAUGUGCGUGUGCUUAGGCAUGCGUGCAUUGUUAAGGAAAAAACAUGCAUUUAAUUUUGAGUAGUUAGAACACUGCAUUUGUGUUAGAAUGACCAGACAAUGGGGUGGCGUUUUUAUGAUUAAUUUGUCUUUGAAAUACAGGACACAAGUCCUGCAAAGGUAAAUCUUGGUAUAAGCAGGUAUUAAUUGUGUUGUUAUUUGGGUUCAAUUUGAGUUAAAACUCUUUACCCCUUAGCUUUCCCAAGAACUGUUUUAAUCCAUCUAAUGGCUAUAAUUGUACUGCAUUUAUUCCAGUUCAGAAACCUAAAGCCCUAUAUACUUUGAGUUGAGAGUUGAGUAACUAUAGCUAUUCAUAAUUUUUUCUGUUAUUGAUAUGUUCCCAGAGUAUGGAAAUCCAGUUUUUUUUCUAGUUUUAUGUACUAAAUCAUCUUUGCCUGUCACCUUAUAGAUGCCUCAUUUCCAUGUUAUCUUAAAGUGCCUCGUAUACUCACCUUGUAUACCUGACUUCUGUGCUGUCUCCCUCCCCCUUUCUAUUUUAACCACUUGAUGCUCUGUAAACAAAUACUUGUAUCAGGGAUGAGGUGGAUGAAUGGGAUAGAGCUCAAAUAAUUUGAAUAAUUACCAUAUAUUUGGGGGAGUACUCCUAAUAGUAUGGAAAGAAAUGACAGUGGGCCAAAGGUUGUUUGUUUUUAAUGUUUAAAAUACCAAAGAAAUUGUUUGUGUUAAAAGCUAAUGGAUUUUUAAGUUGUCUUUGGCAUAUUUGGAAUACGUAUUUGUAAUACUUAGCACAUUAGUGAUGCACUUUGUUGAGUUCCCAUUGAUGAGAUACUCCAUUUUUCUCUUUGAGAUGUUAAUGACAGGUUUGUUUAUAAAUGUAUUGAGUCAUAAUGAUCAUUUAUUCUGAUCUACUUAAUGCAUGACACUCUCCUUCAACACCUUCUAUUAGAUGGUUUCAGCAAUGCAUGCUUGGUCAUAUCAAAGAGAGUUUCUCAGUUUAGAAUGAGCAUGGCUAGGAAGGAGGUCUGGUCCUGUACCCCUGGGAAAUCUUUGAACUUUGAAAGGAAGGAUGCUUCCAUUUCAAAAUUUUAUCUCUUGAUUGGGUUUUCCAGUAUAGCUUCAAAAAUGCAAAAUGGUCAAUCCAAGAUAAUGGUUGGUUA